AUCCAUGCACCUAACCAAGAGUCCAAUUUGUGAAGAACUCUAAUCUAAGUGUCAUGCUAUAUUUUAAUUUAGAUUUUUUUCAUGCCAUUAGAAAGUUAGCACCUUCAUUUUGGUCCAUUGGAUGGCCAAAAGUCAUUAAUGGAUGGUGGAGAAAAAUUGCUCCAUGAGAAGCUGCGCGAUGUAUCAGAGAAUCAUCAAGAAAAAUAUUUCGAAGAGUUCUUCUGUGUGA
rnacentral:lncRNA from 1 species